rfam:Triticum aestivum genome assembly, contig: Triticum_aestivum_CS42_TGACv1_scaffold_049441_1BS
CUAGUACUUCCUCCGUUCGAAAAUACUUGUCACCAAAAUGAAUAAAAUGGGAUGUAUCUAAAAUUAAAAUAUGUCUAAAUGCAUCUUCUUUUAUUCAUUUUGAUGAUAAGUAUUUCCGAACGAAGGGAGUAUAAA